GCUAACAUGGAAAAGACAGAAAGUACCCAGUGCAACUGGGCCUGUUGGGAGUGUAAAUCGGCUAAACUGCGCUGGAAAGGGCACGGCAGUCAGUAUCCGCUGAUGCUAAAAAGUCUGCACGACCUGUGUCCCAACAAUCCCAUUCAUAGAUAUACACCCAACAAAACUGUGUAUGUAUGUGUCUAUCAAAACAUAUGUGAAAGGUUCCCAGCAGCAUUAUUUAUCCAUAAAGGCCCAAACCAGAAAUCACCCAGACGCCCAUCAGCAGUCAAGCGGACAAGUGAACGCAGGAACCACAGAAACCUGGGAAGUUAGCUCUGUUCAUGCAGAAGUACGACUACACACGACGACGUGGAGGAAGCUCACGAGAAGCCCAAACUGUAAAGUGGCACAAGGGUAAAUGACAAACUGUGAGUCAGGACGGGGAGUGGGGGAGGAGUGCCUGGGAACAAGGGGGGCUCCUGGGGUCACAGUCUGCUCGCCGAGCUGGACACUGGCCUCGCAGGCUUGCCCAGUUUGUGAGGAUUUAUCGACUGCACGAUAUGCUUUUCCAUGUAUGGUUUAUAAUUCACUAUAAAAGUGUCAACAACACAUUGGCACUUGCCAUCUACCUCUAAAAGGAUUAAAUCAUGUGCUCUGCAGCUGCUGAUUUUCAACACCCCGCCCCCCCACCCCGGAAAGGAGUUCAGGGUGGAGAGCGGAACUGAGGUCCUCUGUGCUCUGGGCAAAACUGGCAGAACAGGUCUUCAGAGAGUUAAAUAUUUUCAGGAGCCGAUUUUAUGAGCCCAGUUCUUCUAUUUCCUCAUAUCUAGAAAAGCACUAAAAUCCUUCAUGGUGACGACUGCUCCUCGUGACUAGCAGAAACCUGCUGCAAAAUAAUAUGUGCUCAGUUGCAUGUACUCCCCCCUUUGCCCAAAUCACAUCUAUCUUGACCUUCCCUGCUGCCUCUUUGGAGCAGCUUCUCAGAGCUCUCUGAAAUGCUGUCUCCCAGGCUGCAGUCCUCAUUUUGCACCCCCAAAAAACUUAACUUGCAACCCUCAUGUUGUGAAUUUUUUUAGUUGACAGUUUUUUUGGCAACCACGAAGGGAUCCAGAAUGGACUUCUCUCCUUCGCCGGAACUCUAUGAGGAACCAGAGCCUUGGCACCAGCAGAGGCCCCUUGCGCCCCUCUGCCACUGUGGAGAGUCCGGACGCAUCUGGGCCCAAACCAGAAAUCACCCAGACGCCCAUCAGCAGUCAAGCGGACAAGUGAACGCAGGAACCACAGAAACCUGGGAAGUUAGCUCUGUUCAUGCAGAAGUACGACUACACACGACGACGUGGAGGAAGCUCACGAGAAGCCCAAACUGUAAAGUGGCACAAGGGUAAAUGACAAACUUGGUGCUUCCCAGACAGGACAGUCCUUCUGUCGGCAGCUCUGACCAGCUUCCUGAGGCUGAGACAGAACCUGUUUCCCUGCAGCCUCUGCCUUGGCCCCAGCUCCAGCCUCGGCCAUGAACGGGGCCCAGCUGCUCCCUCCCAUGGGACCACCCUGCAGUGAUUUACAGGUGAAGGAGCCUCUGCAGGGUCCACGCUCUCAGCUUCCAGGAAGAGCUCCCACUUUGUCUGGCAAGCUCUUUUGGCACCAAGUCCAGGACUUAUGACUGUUUCAAGGGCCUUCAUUUAUAUUUGACAUCUAGAAAUUCAUUUUGUUACAUCCAAAAAAUUUUUUUAAAGCCUGUAAAACCAAGAUUAAUAAAUGUUUAAUUAAAUGCCUACAAAAUAUAACAUUAUAGUCAAUUUCUUCAUCAUUAAAUCUCGUGCUCAUAAAACUUUCAGGACAGCAGAAAACAUGUGGCUUAGAUUUUCUCAUUUUGCAAGAAUUCCCCACAAAGUAAGAUGAAAGAUGACUGCUCAGAAACUACAGUCAAUCAUAAGUUGAGUGAACCACUUGUGCCAAAUAUUUUCAGAAG